GGGGCAGUAAAGGUUUCGACAUGUAUUACUAAAUAUGACUGCAAGUAGUUGGAGAACUUUAAACUCACAAUUAAAAUUAAAUGACAAAGCUGAUUAUAGCUUUGCUCCAGCAUUUGCAUAGUCUAGAAAGACUUUAGGAGCUCUUCUAUUUGCUUUGCUUACGUAGCAAAUUAGAAGAUCGAUUUAGUAAGCUAUAUUAAUUUAUAUUCUUGGGAUAAGUUAAUGAAUUAAUUCUAAGAUAGUUAUCUAAUAGGUAUGUUAAGAGCCAGUUAGAUAAUGAAAUAUAAAUCUUACUAAACUUGUAGAUGUUGUAUGAUAGGAUAUAUUGGACAGGAGUUCAAUUCUCCUCUGCUCCACCA
rnacentral:tmRNA from 1 species